GAGACGCCCCAACCAGCAGCUGGCCAAAACAGAUGCAGAGCCACAGCCAUCAUUAGAUAGAGCUUGGAAAGUCUUACGGAAGAGUUGGGGGAAGUAUUGAGGGAUCUACGGGGGAUAUGGACUCCACAAGAGCAAGAGUCAACUAACAGAGACCCUCCCCCACCCCUGUGCACAUAUGUAGCAGAUAGGGAGCUUGGUCUUUAUGUGGGUUCUCCAACUACUGGAAAAGGGGCCGUUCCAACUCUGUUGCCUGCUUGUGGAUCCUGCUCCCCUAACUGGGCUGUCUUGCUUGGCUUCGGUGGAAGGAUGUACCUAGUCCUGCAGUGACUUGAGGUGCCAGGGAGGGUUGGUACCCAGGGGAGACCAGCCCCUUCUCAGAAGUGAAAGAGAAUGGGGGGGAUAAUGGGGUGGAGCACUGUGAAGAGGGGAUUAGGAGGAGAGGUAGGGCUGUGAUUGAGAUGUAAAGUGAAUAAAUAAAUAAAUUAAUGG
rnacentral:lncRNA from 1 species